CGUUUCUAUUGACCAAACCAAAUGUUCCUGUACAUUUUCUGACAGAGAUUUCACCGGUGACUAUCAAGAGCCAAGUAAAAGUAAGAUAGCUUUAGUGAGGCAAGGUUGAAACUUCGCCAGGCAGAAGAUGACACAGACCUCCAGUCAGAAGCAGAGGAGGGGAGGCCAAAAAAAAGAAAAACCAAACCAAACCAGCGCUUCCUCUCGAGUCAGGAGGAGUCUGAUGAGGAGCCUGUGAAGCGCAAACCAGUCCUCCCUAAGGUGCCAUCCAUUCCACCUCUUCCGUCACUGUUGCGUAAUGCCAUUUCAUCAUCAGAUGAAAUAUCUCCGCCAGCUAGUCAACUUGCCUCUCUGCAGCCGUUUCACGCCCUUGGACCUCCUGAGCCAUCCUACCAUCUUCCCUCUCAAUCGUCUCGCCACCAUGGAACUCCUGAGCCAUCCUACCGUCUUCUCUCUCAAUCGUCUCGCCACCAUGGAACUCCUGAGCCAUCCUACCAUCUUCCCUCUCAAUCGUCUCGCCACCAUGGAACUCCUGAGCCAUCCUACCAUCUUCUCUC